UUCAACAACGGAUCUCUUGGUUCUGGCAUCGAUGAAGAACGCAGCGAAAUGCGAUAAGUAGUGUGAAUUGCAGAAUUCAGUGAAUCAUCGAAUCUUUGAACGCACAUUGCGCCCUUUGGUAUUCCAAAGGGCAUGCCUGUUCGAGCGUCA
rnacentral:rRNA from 1 species